ACGAACGCUGGCGGCGUGCCUAAUACAUGCAAGUAGAACGCUGAAGAGAGGAGCUUGCUCUUCUUGGAUGAGUUGCGAACGGGUGAGUAACGCGUAGGUAACCUGCCUUGUAGCGGGGGAUAACUAUUGGAAACGAUAGCUAAUACCGCAUAACAAUGGAUGACACAUGUCAUUUAUUUGAAAGGGGCAAUUGUUCCACUACAAGAUGGACCUGCGUUGUAUUAGCUAGUAGGUGAGGUAAUGGCUCACCUAGGCGACGAUACAUAGCCGACCUGAGAGGGUGAUCGGCCACACUGGGACUGAGACACGGCCCAGACUCCUACGGGAGGCAGCAGUAGGGAAUCUUCGGCAAUGGGGGCAACCCUGACCGAGCAACGCCGCGUGAGUGAAGAAGGUUUUCGGAUCGUAAAGCUCUGUUGUAAGUCAAGAACGGGUGUGAGAGUGGAAAGUUCACACUGUGACGGUAGCUUACCAGAAAGGGACGGCUAACUACGUGCCAGCAGCCGCGGUAAUACGUAGGUCCCGAGCGUUGUCCGGAUUUAUUGGGCGUAAAGCGAGCGCAGGCGGUUUGAUAAGUCUGAAGUUAAAGGCUGUGGCUCAACCAUAGUUCGCUUUGGAAACUGUCAAACUUGAGUGCAGAAGGGGAGAGUGGAAUUCCAUGUGUAGCGGUGAAAUGCGUAGAUAUAUGGAGGAACACCGGUGGCGAAAGCGGCUCUCUGGUCUGUAACUGACGCUGAGGCUCGAAAGCGUGGGGAGCGAACAGGAUUAGAUACCCUGGUAGUCCACGCCGUAAACGAUGAGUGCUAGGUGUUGGAUCCUUUCCGGGAUUCAGUGCCGCAGCUAACGCAUUAAGCACUCCGCCUGGGGAGUACGACCGCAAGGUUGAAACUCAAAGGAAUUGACGGGGGCCCGCACAAGCGGUGGAGCAUGUGGUUUAAUUCGAAGCAACGCGAAGAACCUUACCAGGUCUUGACAUCCCGAUGCUAUUUCUAGAGAUAGAAAGUUACUUCGUUACAUUGGUGAUAGCUGGUGCAUCGUUGUCGUCAGCUCGUGUCGUGAGAUGUUGGGUUAAGUCCCGCAACGAGCGCAACCCCUAUUGUUAGUUGCCAUCAUUCAGUUGGGCACUCUAGCGAGACUGCCGGUAAUAAACCGGAGGAAGGUGGGGAUGACGUCAAAUCAUCAUGCCCCUUAUGACCUGGGCUACACACGUGCUACAAUGGUUGGUACAACGAGUUGCGAGUCGGUGACGGCGAGCUAAUCUCUUAAAGCCAAUCUCAGUUCGGAUUGUAGGCUGCAACUCGCCUACAUGAAGUCGGAAUCGCUAGUAAUCGCGGAUCAGCACGCCGCGGUGAAUACGUUCCCGGGCCUUGUACACACCGCCCGUCACACCACGAGAGUUUGUAACACCCGAAGUCGGUGAGGUAACCUUUUGGAGCCAGCCGCCUAAGGUGGGACAGAUGAUUGGGGUG
rnacentral:rRNA from 1 species